rnacentral:rRNA from 1 species
GACGAACGCUGGCGGCGUGCUUAACACAUGCAAGUCGAACGGAAAGGCCCUGCUUUCGUGGGGUGCUCGAGUGGCGAACGGGUGAGUAACACGUGAGUAACCUGCCCUUGACUUUGGGAUAACUUCAGGAAACUGGGGCUAAUACCGGAUAGGAGCUCCUGCUGCAUGGUGGGGGUUGGAAAGUUUCGGCGGUUGGGGAUGGACUCGCGGCUUAUCAGCUUGUUGGUGGGGUAGUGGCUUACCAAGGCUUUGACGGGUAGCCGGCCUGAGAGGGUGACCGGCCACAUUGGGACUGAGAUACGGCCCAGACUCCUACGGGAGGCAGCAGUGGGGAAUAUUGCCCAAUGGGCGGAAGCCUGAUGCAGCAACGCCGCGUGCGGGAUGACGGCCUUCGGGUUGUAAACCGCUUUCGCCUGUGACGAAGCGUGAGUGACGGUAAUGGGUAAAGAAGCACCGGCUAACUACGUG